ACACGUGGGUAACCUGCCUUAUAGUGGGGGAUAGCCUUUCGAAAGGAAGAUUAAUACCGCAUAAGAUUGUAGUAUCGCAUGAUAUAGCAAUUAAAGGAGCAAUCCGCUAUAAGAUGGACCCGCGUCGCAUUAGCUAGUUGGUGAGGUGAUGGCUCACCAAGGCGACGAUGCGUAGCCGACCUGAGAGGGUGAUCGGCCACAUUGGGACUGAGACACGGCCCAGACUCCUACGGGAGGCAGCAU
rnacentral:rRNA from 1 species